CAGGAGUUAUGAACGUCACAUUCAGCUUUACAGUCGUUUGGAAAUCUUCACAUUUUUUUGCCAGGAACCUCAAGCUCCUGCAGAAGAGGGAGAAUGAGUCCACCCAGAUGCAGGUUCUGCUGCUCGCUGUUGUGUUCAGCAUGGUUGGUGCUGACCAGAAAUCUACAUCUGAGAUCGAACCCUCAGAGGCUGAAUGGGAUGUGCUCCAUGGACUUAGAAGCGGGAAAAGAAAAAAACGAGACAGUGUUUACAAGACACACAAUGACUGCAUGAUGUGUAAAGACAGCUGCAUGAUCCAACCAUCACAGUUGCUCAAAUUAAUGGUCUUGGUUUAUCUUGCAUAUCUGGGUAUCCAAGAUUCCAGAUCACUUUUGGAACAAAUUGCAAGUUCAACCCUAAGAGAGUACUUGCAGUUUUGAAGCGUUUUCUUUGGGUUACACUGCAGACAUGUUUUGUAGCUGUUGUCUGAGGUCAAAGUUCACCCUGCUACCAUGAAUGAAACCGGAGGCAGGUCUGAAAACUCAUCAUCUGCUAUGGCCCUCAGAUGUGGGAAAGUGGUUAAAUCUACUCAGAGUCCGUCUAUCCACAUUUGGGAAACACUUAUUUAUUUUUAAUGUGAGCAAAUUUGUCUUUCAUUGAGUAAAUCAUUACAAGUUAAGAGGUGUUUAUCAGAAAUGAUGGAAGAAAUAUGGUCUGAUUAAUCAAAUCUCAAAGAACAGAGGAGGAAUCAAUGAUAGUAACAAACAUUUCCAUACCCAGCUGGACACGUUUCGGG
rnacentral:lncRNA from 1 species